rnacentral:tRNA from 1 species
UAAAAAUGAAGCAAAUUUUGCAGUCAGUUUCGACCUGACCUUAGGAACACCCAUUUUUAU